rfam:Candidatus Syntrophoarchaeum caldarius isolate BOX2 BOX2_8_reassembly_contig02, whole genome shotgun sequence.
GCCAAGGUGGCAGAGUGGUUACGCGGUCGCCUGCAGAGCGACUAUACUCCGGUUCGAAUCCGGACCUUGGCU